rnacentral:rRNA from 1 species
CGACCUGAGCUCAGGCAAGAUUACCCGCUGAACUUAAGCAUAUCAAUAAGC